CAGGACACAACAUUAGAACCAUUAGUCAACAUAUACCAGAAAAGAAAAUUCAAAACCUACAUGUAAGCCACAAAAGGACACAUGCAAAUAAAGAACAAACAAACCAAGAAAAGGGACAAAAAAACAACUUACUUUAUAGAAGAAAUUAAUCAGACAUAAGUGAAGAGCUCGCCACAAGGAUCACCCUAGUAGUCUCCGAU
rnacentral:lncRNA from 1 species